rnacentral:lncRNA from 1 species
CUCCUCCAUGGAACUUCUGUUGUCAUCCAGUGGCUGAAAUCAACUGGAAGCCUACAGGGAAAGACCUGCCUCCUGGGACACAGAGCAGCAAGAAGGAACACAUUUGCUGAAAACUUUCCAAAUUUUUUCGUUACUGCUGCACCAUCACUAGCUGUUGAUAUCGAUGGAAUUCCUGACCAGUAACAUUUCCAUGAAGAUCAUUACAAUUUAUUUCUUGAAAUUCUGGGAAGGCAUGGAAACAUCACAUUGCAGCAGAUGCUGGGGAUGCAGCAAUGAACAAGACAGGCCAGAUCCCUACUCUCAGAUAAACACAAUGAUCCAGGUCAGUAGGCAUUUGGUAGGAAUCUGCAUCAAACUGUUGGGCAAUGGUAGACAGCAACAUUGACGUCUGUAAAUUUACACUUGGAUUCUUAGUUUCUGGUUGGCUGCAUCCUUCUUCUGAAGGCCACUGCUCUUUUCAGAAGACCUCCCUAGAUGGCUAAGCUCUCUGGGUUGCAACAGUUGCUCUUUUUCCUUGAGCCUUAGGUUAGGGAGUUGGGAGGAAGUAAUGGCUUCCCCCACUGCUAGCUCCAGGGUGCUACACUUUCUCUUUUCUAGUUUCCCUAAUCUGGCUUACACCAUUAUAGAUAGACCCUUUAUUAAAAUAUCCUCAAUUUAUCCAUAU